ensembl:lncRNA
AGCUUUUGCACCUGCUGCUUGUUGACAUCUGCAUGGAAUGCUAGGCCCCUACUCAACUUCACUCAGACAACUCCUUCCCCAUCACCCCUGAGGUCUCAGCUUACAUGGCACCUACUCAAGGAAGCCUUCCAGGCCUGCUAUACGGAGCUCUCACAACACCUGUAUUUUUUCACAGUAUUUAUGACAAUGGAAACACAGAAAAUCCAAGCUUACGCUGACACAUGGAACUAGAUAAAAAUGGAACCAUUUGAAGAAAAGGCGUCCAUCAUAAAUAAGGACUGUGUACAGAAACUCUGCUCACGAUGGGAAACCACCAUUUUCCCACAGAACUGGAAUGAGCAAAGAACUGAAGUCAGCCCUAGGGUUUUACUCUUUGUGGGAUAAUCUUCUUUUAAUAAUCUUUUUUUUUCCCUCCUUCCAAAAAUGGCACCAGUCCCUUGGAGAUAUUAAGGAUUUUCAAAAUCUUUGGUAGAAUCAGUGUGGCUCUAGAAUCCGUUGCUCUGGGACGCCAUCAAGUCUGUCAACAGAAAAUGGGAAAUGUCCACACCCAGGUGCCAAAGCAGAAGGUCUGCGCAGCGGGGUUCAGUGUGAGCUCCCCUCACAUGUGCCAACGUCUUCUGGGUUCAGGGCUGCUGUAGACUACGUGACAAACACGCCCAAACUCACCCAUUCGUCAAACAGCAUCCACGACCCUACCGUCACCUUUAUUCCUAAUACUAUUCCUGUGACCAACAUUUAUUCCUAAUACAGACCUGCUACUCAAACUAGUUUUGCAACCACCUUGACAUAUCCUCAGUGGUGGUUACUUUUACCUGUUUAAGUUCAAAGAAUGAGCAUUUUUGGAAGUGUCUAAGAGACAUUUGGGGUCAAGCCUGGUGCCUAACUAGACGAUCAAGCUGAGUAACACCAUCAUUUGGUUUUCAAAAUACCUGCUGCAUAUUAUCACAGGCAUGGAAAGUCCCCUUUCUCAUUAGGCUUUUCUGCAGGCACUUCCCAAAGAGGACUCGUUUUCUGCAGGCACUUCCCCCAAAAUUAUCUUGAGCUGUAGCAGCAUGUAAGGAAACUGCACUUACAUUUCCCAUGAAAGUAUGGAUCACCCACGUUAGAACCACAGGGUCGGAGGAGUUUGCUAAAAUGCAGAUUUUGGAGCCCCAUCUGGACCUAUGAGGAAAUGAAACUGGAUCCACAGAUGGAGAACAACCAGGGAGGCUGACAAGGCCUCUGAUGAGACUAGAGGACAAGAGAAGCCACCGUGGGAGAAGCAGGAGGCCCAGUGCUCGAGGCAGCGGGAAGGAACACAGAAGACUCUGACCUGAAGAUGUGUUUCAAGACUAGAAAGGAGGCCUGCACAGUGGGAGCCCCUGGGUGAGGAGGGGAUCAGACAAGAUGGGGCGAAAGGGCAGGCUGAGAAUGGGGAGUCUUUGAAGAAUCUUAAGCAGUCAAGUACUCUGGGUGGUUGGUGUUUUGUAGAGACUAUCCUGAUGCCGUGUGGAAAAGACAUUUGGAGGGGCAAGAAAUCAGAAGACCAUUCGGAUUUGGACUAGGUUGGUAAAAGUGGAAGUAGAGAGAUGUGUGAGUUGAAGGUAUGAGGUAGAAAUGACACAAGCUCAUGGGCAGAAGGCCGGGGUGGGGAGAGGGGAUCUGGGAUGACAUACCAGCUUCUACAGGGUGGAGGGCAGCACCAUGUGCUCAGAUGGGCACGGCUGAGG